CUCUGGGAGAAGGGCAGAUCCAGUGGGGACCACUGGGAGCAGAAUGGGGUUCAGGGAUUGGUUCACAGAGGAGGACCAUCUGCGGGGAUGACAGGAGGCUACACAUGUGCAUGAAAGGGGCUUAUCCAGUGCCAGGCCCAAGGCAAGAGCUCCAAAAAUGGAAGGCAAAUGGCCGCACAGGUACACAGGCCAGUUUGCAAAUGAAAAUGAGAAAAGAGAAAGCGCCAAUCAAGAUUCCUUUAAAGAGAAUGAUUAAAAUUCCUAAACACUGAGGAACCUUUGGGAAAUUCAAGCAAGCCUUUGGUUUCUCUUUUUUUUGGGGCCCAGAAAUGCUCCUUCAUCGGCACCCUGUUGCUGGGUCGCCAGCAGGCAAGCAGGCAGUUUUGUUGGGGGGUGAAAAUGCCACUUGUCUCAAUCAACUCUUGAUUGCAAAUUUUGUUAAACACAUGACAAACUUCCUUUCAUUUCUUCAUGAAUUUUUUUUUUAAAGAUUUUAUUUAUUUAUCAGAGAGAGGGAGAGAGA